ACGGUCCAAACGAGCCUAGUGAUAGCUGGUUACUCAAGAAACGGACUUUAGUCCAACCUAAAGUUAAUUUAAUAUAACAAAAUUUUUCUGACUUUAGAGCAAUUCAAAUAAGGUACAGCCUAUUUGAAACAGGAUACAACCUCGACUAACGGGUUCUACAUCUAACAUACCCCAUCCAAGUGGGCCUAAAAGCAGCCACCUUCCUAAAAGCGUCAAAGCUUAAUUCUUUCUUACCCCAAUCCCAAAACCCCCUUCUAACCCUUUUACAGUAAUGAGUAAUUCUAUAUCCCUAUAGAAGUUUUUAUGUUAGAACUAGUAACAAGAAGACGACCCUUCUCUUAAAUGCAAGCGUAGACCAAAAAGGACACACCACUGGUAAUUAACACCCAUGAGCCACCAAUAGCAACGCCAUGAAAAACUCCUAUUUAUUAACAUGUUAACCUAACACAAGAGCAUUAAAAGAAAGAUUAAAAGGAAAAGAAGGAACUCGGCAAACAUUAACCUCGCCUGUUUACCAAAAACAUCGCCUCUCGAAUAAAUAUGAGAGGUCUAGCCUGCCCAGUGACUCUGUUCAACGGCCGCGGUAUCCUAACCGUGCAAAGGUAGCGUAAUCACUUGUCCUUUAAAUGGGGACUAGUAUGAACGGCACCACGAAGGUUACACUGUCUCCUUUUCCUAAUCAGUGAAACUGAUCUCCCCGUGAAGAAGCGGGGAUAAACAUAUCAGACGAGAAGACCCUAUGGAGCUUUAAACGAAACAACAGCCGCCACCCCAUCUAAAUUCCAGAACAUACACCCCACACUCUGGCGGCAUGAUUGUUAGUUUUAGGUUGGGGUGACCGCGGAGGAUAAACCAACCCCCGCAUUGAAAGGGGCCUCCCCUAAGCAAAAAGCCACAACUUUAGGCAUCAACAAAUUGACACCAAUUGACCCAAUAUUUUGACCAACGAACCAAGUUACCCUAGGGAUAACAGCGCAAUCCAUUUUGAGAGCCCAUAUCGACAAAUGGGUUUACGACCUCGAUGUUGGAUCAGGGUACCCCGGCGGUGCAGCCGCUGCCAAAGGUUCGUUUGUUCAACGACUAAGACCCUACGUGA
rnacentral:rRNA from 1 species